rnacentral:rRNA from 1 species
CCUACGGGGGGCUGCAGUGGGGAAUAUUGGACAAUGGGGGGAACCCUGAUCCAGCCAUGCCGCGUGUGUGAAGAAGGCCCUCGGGUUGUAAAGCACUUUCAGUGAGGAAGAACGCCUGGUGGUUAAUACCCAUUAGGAAAGACAUCACUCACAGAAGAAGCACCGGCUAACUCCGUGCCAGCAGCCGCGGUAAUACGGAGGGUGCGAGCGUUAAUCGGAAUUACUGGGCGUAAAGCGCGCGUAGGUGGCUUGAUAAGCCGGUUGUGAAAGCCCCGGGCUCAACCUGGGAACGGCAUCCGGAACUGUCAAGCUAGAGUGCAGGAGAGGAAGGUAGAAUUCCCGGUGUAGCGGUGAAAUGCGUAGAGAUCGGGAGGAAUACCAGUGGCGAAGGCGGCCUUCUGGACUGACACUGACGCUGAGGUGCGAAAGCGUGGGUAGCAAACAGGAUUAGAUACCCGAGUAGUC